CCUACGGGAGGCAGCAGUGAGGAAUAUUGGUCAAUGGACGCAAGUCUGAACCAGCCAUGCCGCGUGCAGGAAGACGGCUCUAUGAGUUGUAAACUGCUUUUGUACGAGGGUAAACGCAGAUACGCGUAUCUGUCUGAAAGUAUCGUACGAAUAAGGAUCGGCUAACUCCGUGCCAGCAGCCGCGGUAAUACGGAGUAUUCAAGCGUUAUCCGGAGUUAUUGGGUUUAAAGGGGGCGUAGGCGGUCGGAUAAGUUAGAGGUGCAAUCCCGAGGCUCAACUUCGGAAUUGCCGCUGUUACUGUUCGGCUAGCGCGUAGUUGCGGUAGGCGGAAUGUGUGGUGUAGCG
rnacentral:rRNA from 1 species